rnacentral:rRNA from 1 species
AUCAACGCUGGCGGCGUGCCUAACACAUGCAAGUCGAACGCGAAAGUGGAGCAAUCCAUGAGUAGAGUGGCAAACGGGUGAGUAACACGUGGGUGACCUGCCUUCGAAUGGGGGAUAACGUCCCGAAAGGGACGCUAAUACCGCAUAACAUGCUGUCAUUUAAGAGAUGGACAUCAAAGCCGGGGACCGCAAGGCCUGGCGCUUGAAGAGGGGCCCGCGCCUGAUUAGCUAGUUGGUGGGGUAAUGGCUCACCAAGGCAACGAUCAGUAUCCGGCCUGAGAGGGCGGACGGACACACUGGGACUGAGACACGGCCCAGACUCCUACGGGAGGCAGCAGUGGGGAAUUGUUCGCAAUGGGCGCAAGCCUGACGACGCAACGCCGCGUGGAGGAUGAAGAUCUUCGGGUCGUAAACUCCUUUCGAUCGAGACGAAUGGCCAUCGGGCUAACAUCCUGAUGGAGUGACGGUACCGAGAGAAGAAGCCCCGGCUAACUCCGUGCCAGCAGCCGCGGUAAUACGGGGGGGGCAAGCGUUGUUCGGAAUUACUGGGCGUAAAGGGCUCGUAGGCGGCCAACUAAGUCAUACGUGAAAUCCCUCGGCUUAACCGGGGAACUGCGUCUGAUACUGGAUGGCUUGAGUUCGGGAGAGGGAUGCGGAAUUCCAGGUGUAGCGGUGAAAUGCGUAGAUAUCUGGAGGAACACCGGUGGCGAAGGCGGCAUCCUGGACCGACUACUGACGCUGAGGAGCGAAAGCCAGGGGAGCAAACGGGAUUAGAUACCCCGGUAGUCCUGGCCCUAAACGAUGAAUGCUUGGUGUGGCGGGUAUCGAUCCCUGCCGUGCCGAAGCUAACGCAUUAAGCAUUCCGCCUGGGGAGUACGGUACGCAAGGUUGAAAACUCAAAGGAAUUGACGGGGAGGCGCACAAGCAGUGGAGCAUGUGGUUUAAUUCGAGACAAAGCGAAAAACCUCACCUGGGUUUGACAUGUAUCUGCAAGCGCACGGAAACGUGUGAUCUUCGAGAGUGAUACACAGAUGCUGCAUGGCUGUCGUCAGUUCGUGGCGUGAGCUGUACCCUUAAGUGGGACAACGAACGCAACCCGCGCUCUAUGUUAAAUUGUUCAUAGAGAACUGCCCCGAUUAUAUCGGGGAGGAAGGCGCGGAUGAUGUCAAGUCCGCACGGCUCUUACACCCAGGGCUACACACAUCCUACAAUGGCGAAUAACAACGAGCUGCAAGCCGGUAACGGCAAGCUAAUCUCUUAAAUUUCGCCCCAGUUCAGAUCGGGGUCUGCAAUUCGACCCCGUGAAGUCGGAAUUGCUAGUAAUCGCGAAUCAGCAGGUCGCGGUGAAUACGUUCUCGCCUCUUGUACACACCGCCCGUCAAGGCAGCAAAGUUGGGGGUACCCGAAUAGCCCUACAGGGUUAGAAGGUAAAACCAGCGAUGAAGCUUAAGUCGUAACAAGGUAAC